GGCAGCUGCUUAACCAACUGAGCCAUGGAGUCCCUCCCGAAGCUGUGCGCUCAGUCGAAGAGGACGACCUUCCCCGAUAGAGGAGAGGACCGUUCUUCGGUCAAGGGUAUACGAGUAGCUGCGCUCCCCUGCUAGAACCUCCAAACAAGCUCUCAAGGUCCUCGUGAGCUGGUUUGAAUGAGACAGUGAGGGGGCGCUGGGAAGCUUUCUUCUGUGGGCCCCUCAC
rfam:Mustela putorius furo unplaced genomic scaffold scaffold00032, whole genome shotgun sequence.